UAAAGCGAAUAAGGGCGCAUGGUGGAUGCCUUGGGUCUGAGAGGCGACGAAGGACGUGGUAAGCUGCGAUAAGCUUCGGGGAGCUGCACACAAGCAUUAUAUCCGAAGAUUUCCGAAUGGGACAACCCAGCACACUGAAGGUGUGUUAUCCGAAAGGAAGCCAACCUCCUGAACUGAAACAUCUAAGUAGGGAGAGGAAAAGAAAAUAACAAUGAUUCCCUGAGUAGUGGCGAGCGAAACGGGAAGAGCCCAAACUUAAGCGGCGUGCCGCUUAGGGGUUGUAGGACUGCAUUUAGAAAUGUUCAUCAAAUUGAAUCUUCUGGAAAGUUGAGCCAUAGCAGGUGAUAGCCCUGUAGAUACAAAUUGAACAGGACGAGCAGUAUCCUGAGUAAGGCGGGACCGGAGGAAUCCUGCCUGAAUCUGCCAGCACCAUCUGGUAAGGCUAAAUACUCCUCAGACACCGAUAGUGAACCAGUACCGUAAGGGAAAGGUGAAAAGAACCCCGAAACAGGGGAGUGAGGGCGCUUAGUCAGUGGGGGUAGACGCGAAACUUUGUGAUCUAUCCAUGGGCAGGCUGAAGGUGUGGUAACACACACUGGAGGGCCGAACUCAUUAACGUUGAAAAGUUAUGGGAUGACCUGUGGAUAGGGGUGAAAGGCCAAUCAAACUGAGAGAUAGCUCGUUCUCCCCGAAAUGUUUUUAGGAACAGCCUCGGAUAUAAGAAGUGUGUAAGAGGUAGAGCUACUGAUUGGGCUAGGGGGCUUCACCGCCUACCAAACCCUGACAAACUCCGAAUGCUUACACAUAUCUCCGGGAGUGAGGCUGCGGGCGCUAAGGUCCGUGGCCGAGAGGGAAAUAACCCAGAUUAGCAACUAAGGUCCCUAAUACGUAGUUAAGUUGAACAAACGAAGUAGGACUUCUAUAACAGCCAGGAUGUUUGCUUGGAAGCAGCAAUUCAUUUAAAGAGUGCGUAACAGCUCACUGGUCGAGAGGUCCCGCACGGAAAAUGAUCGGGCAUCAAACUACGAACCGAAGUUCUAAAAUUGUACUUGUACAAUUGGUAGGGGAGCAUUGAAACUGCAGCGAAGGUGUCUGGUGAUGGAUGCUGGAGCGGUUUCAAAAGAAAAUGUAGGAAUGAGUAGCGAUAAAAGUAGUGAAAAACUACUUCGCCGUAAGUCCAAGGUUUCCUGAUCAAUGUUAAUCAGAUCAGGGUUAGUCGGGUCCUUAGGGAAAGCCGAAAGGCGUACCUGAUGGAAAGUUGGUUAAUAUUCCAACACUUGCUUUUGUUUCGAUGGGGUGACGGGGUAGUGAAAGAUCCGCCUGGUUACGGAAUACCAGGUUAAAGCGUGUAGAUAUAUUUUUUGCAGGUAAAUCCGCAGAGAAUGUCGAACGUGAUAGUACCACAAAGCUUCGGCUGCGUGGAUAGUGAUCCUAAUCAAACCUCCGAGAAAAACCUCUAAGGUUAGGCAAUAGCAACCCGUACCGUAAACCGACACAGGUGGACGAGAUGAAUAUUCUAAGGCGCUCGGGUGAGCCGUGGAGAAGGAACUAGGCAAAUUGACGCUGUAACUUCGGGAUAAAGCGUACCAUCUUCGGAUGGUCUCAGUAAAAUGGUUCAACCAACUGUUUAGCAAAAACACAGGGCCCUGCAAAAUCGAAAGAUGACGUAUAGAGCCUGAUACCUGCCCGGUGCUGGAAGGUUAAGGAAGGAUGUUCGGCGCAAGCCAAAGCUUCUGACUGAAGCCCCAGUAAACGGCGGCCGUAACUAUAACGGUCCUAAGGUAGCGAAAUUCCUUGUCGGGUAAGUUCCGACCUGCACGAAUGGUCUAAUGAGUUGAACACUGUCUCCUCCACGAGCCCGGUGAAAUUGUAGUAUCGGUGAAGAUGCCGGUUACCCGCCACGGGACGGAAAGACCCCGUGAACCUUCACUACAACUUUGCAUUGAUUUUGAAUUACGGAUGUGUAGAAUAGUUGGGACGCUUUGAAGCUUUGCCGCCAGGUAGGGUGGAGCGGUCGUUGAAAUACCAACCUUCUUUGAUUUAGAAUCUAAUCCCUUACGGGAAACAGUGCAUGGUGGGUAGUUUGACUGGGGUGGUCGCCUCCUAAAGAGUAACGGAGGCUCGCAAAGGUACCCUCAGUACGGUUGGUAAUCGUACGUAGAGCGCAUUAGUAUAAGGGUGCUUGACUGUGAGGCAUACAGGCCGAGCAGGUGCGAAAGCAGGCUAAAGUGAUCCGGCGGUUCUGCAUGGAAGGGCCGUCGCUCAAAGGAUAAAAGGUACUCCGGGGAUAACAGGCUGAUCUCCCCCAAGAGCUCAUAUCGACGGGGAGGUUUGGCACCUCGAUGUCGGUUCGUCACAUCCUGGGGCUGGAGAAGGUCCCAAGGGUUCGGCUGUUCGCCGAUUAAAGUGGCACGUGAACUGGGUUCAGAACGUCGCAAGACAGUUCGGUCCCUAUCUGUGGUGGGCGUUAGUAAAUUGAGAGGACAUGACCUUAGUACGAGAGGACCGGGUCGUACACACCGCUGGUGUAUCUGUUGUGCCGCCAGGUGCAGUGCAGAGUAGCUAUGUGUGGCCAGGAUAAACGCUGAAAGCAUCUAAGCGUGAAACCUUCCUCAAGAUGAGUUUACUUUUAAGGGCCGUCAAAGACGAUGACGUUGAUAGGCUACAGAUGUAAAACUGGUAACAGUAAAGUCGAGUAGUACUAAUUACCCGUAAGCUUUAAUUU
rnacentral:rRNA from 1 species